UUCAUAUCAGUUAUGAGGGUAAAAAUGUAAUUUUAGAAUAUAGCAUAAAAACUCAUAGUUCUAGAAAAAUCUUUCUUCCGGAUUAGUCUGAAGACCAUCUUUUUACUCACAUCAGUAUAAGAAGGUACAUCAAGGGUGUACCCAGCCGAAACUCUGGUGAGGUUUCUCAAAGCUAAGGAUUGCAGUGUCUCUAAAGCACAAAAAAUCUUGUUGACUGUUUAAAUUGGAGGAUAGACAAUGAGAUUGAUCUUGCAGUAAGUUUUCUCUUAUCAUAGCAUAGGCAUUUCUGUUUCUGUAGAGUGUGUGAUAAUUUUGGGUCGCUUAUAAUGUCCACUUCCAUUUUUUGUUCA